AUACGUAGGGGGCGAGCGUUGUCCGGAUUUACUGGGCGUAAAGGGUGAGUAGGCGGUUGCAUAUGUCAGAUGUAAAAGGCACAGGCUCAACUUGUGUUAGCAUUUGAAACUGUGCGACUUGAGUGCAGGAGAGGUAAGUGGAAUUCCUAGUGUAGCGGUGAAAUGCAUAGAUAUUAGGAGGAACACCGGCGGCGAAAGCGGCAUCCUGGCUUAUAUCUGACGCUGAGGCGCGAAAGCGUGGGUAGC
rnacentral:rRNA from 1 species